rnacentral:lncRNA from 1 species
GAAACACUGCUGUCCCGUAGCAAGGAGAGCCUGGAAGAAAAUGAGUCCCUUACAGGGACAAAAGGAAGUAUUUUGAGUGCUCAAAUCCUGUUCCAAUUUGUGUCCCUCUGAAGCCUGAGGAACUGCCCUGCCGCUCGGUGGCGUGCAGUUCAGAUUUGCUGGACCUAGGACCACAUUUGUGGUUUACAAUGGCUGCUUAGUGCUGCUCCACACUUGUCUUUAUAUCCCUCUGAAGAAGGACUCAUUAAGCUACUAUACAGAUGUCCAAUUACUCCAGCACCAUUUGUUGAAGAAGACUAUCUUUCCCCCAUUGAACUGCUUUUGCACCUUUGUCAAAAACAGAUGGGAAGAGUCGUAUUGCUCACACUUUGCGGAUCACUUCCCUACGGUGCCUAGACACCCAGGGUUCUGUGUUGGACACCAUGAAGAACACAGCAGUGGAUAACACAGCCUUGCCCUUGGGAUUUCACAGGCAGUCCAAGAACAAAAGCCAUGAGAGCCUCACAGAGGCUCAUGUAAAAGCAUCAGAGCAUCUUGUAAAAGCAGAGAAGGGAGAGACUUCUUCCCUAUGGGGAAGAGAAGAGAGUCUUCAGGGAAGAGGGAGCCCUGGAGGAGGUCACGAAUGAUAAGAAGAGCUUUGUGUUCUCUACCCUGAGGAAGUCCCUCCUCCACUUCUGAGAAGCCCAGGUUCUACUUUGACCUUACCAGAGUUACAGGACGGCAGGGUGGGGGAGGGCUGUAGAAUGGGGAAGAGUCUGUACACCUGCUAUGUAUGGCUGUUGGUGGGUUUUUCUUUGUGCCUUUUUUUUCCUGUUUGUUUAAUGCAUAUUUUUUCCUCCUGCCUUCAGGACACAGUGACCUAUAUUUCAGUUUUGGCAAGGGACAAUGCCAGAGUGUGGGAAGGAAGAGCCCUGGGCAGAGAUAGUUAAACUUUGGCAGGCUAAUGUUUGAUGCUGCUUCAUUGCCUUCUUACUUUUAAAUAUAAGAACCACACCAUCCAGAGAAGGAACAAAGACAGGUGACCUCUCAAGACCCUUUUCAACUACUCUGACUCUGAAGUACCCAGGAAUAUAUUUUUUUAAAUGCAUGUAAACACUAGAUGCAUAGGACCCCCUGAGCGUUCCUAAAAUAUGUCUUGGACCCUCUUACUGCUCUGCUUAACAGCUUCAAUGAGUAUCUCCUAUCUAGAGAAAAAACUUCAAAUUCCUCAUGGUGGCAUUCAAGACACUUCAAAUUCUAGCCUCUACCUUGGCACCUGCUACUUUCUUCCGAUCUCCCACCAGACAUACCAAGCCAUAUGUUCCUCCCUGCACAUACUGGCUCUAUCCCCCAUGACAGCUCAGCCAAUUCUCUACCACCUUGCCCCAUCUCUCUAAGUCCCACUCACCUUCCUGCCCCAGUUCAGAA